rnacentral:rRNA from 1 species
AGAGUUUGAUCAUGGCUCAGAUUGAACGCUGGCGGCAGGCCUAACACAUGCAAGUCGAACGGUAGCACAGAGAGCUUGCUCUCGGGUGACGAGUGGCGGACGGGUGAGUAAUAUCUGGGAAACUGCCCGAUGGAGGGGGAUAACUACUGGAAACGGUAGCUAAUACCGCAUAACGUCGCAAGGCCAAAGAGGGGGACCUUAGGGCCUCUUGCCAUAGGAUGUGCCCAGAUGGGAUUAGCUUGUUGGUGAGGUAACGGCUCACCAAGGCGACGAUCCCUAGCUGGUCUGAGAGGAUGACCAGCCACACUGGAACUGAGACACGGUCCAGACUCCUACGGGAGGCAGCAGUGGGGAAUAUUGCACAAUGGGCGCAAGCCCGAUGCAGCCAUGCCGCGUGUAUGAAGAAGGCCUUCGGGUUGUAAAGUACUUUCAGCGGGGAGGAAGGCGGUGAGGUUAAUAACCUUACUGAUUGACGUUACCCGCAGAAGAAGCACCGGCUAACUCCGUGCCAGCAGCCGCGGUAAUACGGAGGGUGCAAGCGUUAAUCGGAAUUACUGGGCGUAAAGCGCACGCAGGCGGUCUGACAAGUCGGAUGUGAAAUCCCCGGGCUCAACCCGGGAACUGCAUUCGAAACUGUCAGGCUGGAGUCCUGUAGAGGGGGGUAGAAUUC